rnacentral:rRNA from 1 species
UACGUAGGGGCAAGCGUUGUCCGGAUUUAUUGGGCGUAAAGAGCGUGUAGGCGGCCAGGUAGGUCCGUUGUGAAACUAGAGGCUCAACCUCUAGACGUCGAUGGAAACCAUCUGGCUAGAGUCCGGAAGAGGAGAGUGGAAUUCCUGGUGUAGCGGUGAAAUGCGCAGAUAUCAGGAAGAACACCCGUGGCGAAGGCGGCUCUCUGGGACGGUACUGACGCUGAGACGCGAACGUGGGGAGCGAACAGG